UCAGGACGAACGCUGGCGGCGUGCCUAAUACAUGCAAGUCGAGCGAAUCUUUGGGAGCUUGCUCCCAAUGGUUAGCGGCGGACGGGUGAGUAACACGUGGGCAACCUGCCUGUAAGACUGGGAUAACUUCGGGAAACCGGAGCUAAUACCGGAUAAUCCAUUUCCUCUCAUGAGGAAAUGCUGAAAGUCGGUUUCGGCUGACACUUACAGAUGGGCCCGCGGCGCAUUAGCUAGUUGGUGAGGUAACGGCUCACCAAGGCGACGACUGCGUAGCCGACCUGAGAGGGUGAUCGGCCACACUGGGACUGAGACACGGCCCAGACUCCUACGGGAGGCAGCAGUAGGGAAUCUUCCACAAUGGACGAAAGUCUGAUGGAGCACACGCCGCGUGAGCGAUGAAGGCCUUCGGGUCGUAAAGCUCUGUUGUUAGGGAAGACACAAGUACCGGAGUAACUGCCGGUACCUUGACGGUACCUCAACCAGAAAGCCACGG
rnacentral:rRNA from 1 species